GGCCUCAUAGUGUAAUGGAUUAGCACAAAGGCUUGCGGAGCCUUUAAUCGGGGUUCAAUUCCCCGUGGGGCCG
rnacentral:tRNA from 1 species